rnacentral:rRNA from 1 species
UACGGGGGGAGCAAGCGUUGUUCGGAUUUACUGGGCGUAAAGCGCACGUAGGCGGAUCGAUCAGUCAGGGGUGAAAUCCCAGAGCUCAACUCUGGAACUGCCUUUGAUACUGUCGAUCUGGAGUAUGGAAGAGGUGAGUGGAAUUCCGAGUGUAGAGGUGAAAUUCGUAGAUAUUCGGAGGAACACCAGUGGCGAAGGCGGCUCACUGGUCCAUUACUGACGCUGAGGUGCGAAAGCGUGGGGAGCAAACAGG